rnacentral:rRNA from 1 species
GUCGAACGCUGGCGGCGUGCCUAAUACAUGCAAGUUGAGCGAUGAAGAUUGGUGCUUGCACCAAUUUGAAGAGCAGCGAACGGGUGAGUAACGCGUGGGGAAUCUGCCUUUGAGCGGGGGACGACAUUUGGAAACGAAUGCUAAUACCGCAUAACAACUUUAAACAUAAGUUUUAAGUUUGAAAGAUGCAAUUGCAUCACUCAAAGAUGAUCCCGCGUUGUAUUAGCUAGUUGGUGAGGUAAAGGCUCACCAAGGCGAUGAUACAUAGCCGACCUGAGAGGGUGAUCGGCCACAUUGGGACUGAGACACGGCCCAAACUCCUACGGGAGGCAGCAGUAGGGAAUCUUCGGCAAUGGACGAAAGUCUGACCGAGCAACGCCGCGUGAGUGAAGAAGGUUUUCGGAUCGUAAAACUCUGUUGGUAGAGAAGAACGUUGGUGAGAGUGGAAAGCUCAUCAAGUGACGGUAACUACCCAGAAAGGGACGGCUAACUACGUG